AUUGAACGCUGGCGGCAGGCCUAACACAUGCAAGUCGAACGAGUGGCGGACGGGUGAGUAAUGUCUGGGAAACUGCCUGAUGGAGGGGGAUAACUACUGGAAACGGUAGCUAAUACCGCAUACCAUCGGAUUUGCCCAGAUGGGAUUAGCUAGUAGGUGGGGUAAUGGCUCACCUAGGCGACGUUCCCUAGCUGGUCUGAGAGGAUGACCAGCCAAGCUGGAACUGAGACACGGUCCAGACUCCUACGGGAGGCAGCAGUGGGGAAUAUUGCACAAUGGGCGCAAUCCUGAUGCAGCAAUGCCGCGUGUAUGAAGAAGGCCUUCGGGUUGUAAAGUACUUUCAGCGGGGAGGCGUUACCCGCAGAAGAAGCACCGGCUAACUCCGUGCCAGCAGCCGCGGUAAUUC
rnacentral:rRNA from 1 species